AUGGGCGAAACCACGCAGGGCUGCGUGUGUGCGUGCACACACACACACACACACACUCAUUCACACAUGCACACUCACAUUCACACAACACUCGCACACUCGCACAUACACACACACACACUCACACACUCAGGCCACACACGGGCGAAACUGCACAGGGCUGCACACACACACACACACACACUCAUUCACUCACACAUACACACUCACACCCAUAUUCACACAACACUCUCACACUCCCUCGCACACACACACACACUUACACACUCAGGCCACACACUGUCAAAACUGCAGGGCUAUACACACACACUCUCACACAUGCACACUCACUCAUUCACACAACACCGCACACUCCCUCACACACACACACACACACGUACACACUCAGGCCACACACAGGCAAAACCAUGCAGGGCUGCACACACACACACACACACACACUCAUUCACUCACAUGCACACUCACACUCAUAUUCACACAACACUCACACACUCACUUAGGCCACACACGGGAAAAACUGCAGGGCUACACACACACGCUCUUACACACAUGCAUGCACACUCGCACACACUCACACACACUCAUGCAGUCACAGUCUCACACCCACCCACACACUCACACUCGUAUUCACACCAUACUCGCACACUCACUCACUUUCACACUCACUCACGCUCACACUCUUACACCCACACAUUCACACAACACUGGCACACACUCACACUCGCGCUCACACACUCAGGCCACACACGGGCAAAACCACGCAGAGCUACUCACACACUCAGACUCUCGCACUCACACAUGCACACUCACGCACACUCACACACACACGCACACUCAUGCUCACAUACUCAUGCAGUCACACUCACACCCACCCACACGCUCACACAUAUUCACACCAUACUCGCACCCUCACUCACACACUUUCACACUCACGCUCACACACACAAGUACAUACACGCUCACACAUAUUCACACCAUACUCGCACGCUCACUCACACACUUUCACACUCACUCACGCUCACACACACGAGUGCAUACAGAACAGCUGAACUCAGCAAGCUCCGGAUUGCACUGGUUCAAUCUCGCGGCUACGACGUCAGAUGGCUGUGA
rnacentral:lncRNA from 1 species